CAGCCGCCGCGGUAAUACGGGGUGGGCGAGCGUUGCCCGGAAUUACUGGGUUUAAAGGGGGUGUAGGCGGUCCGGAGAGUCAGGUGUGUAAUCCAACCGCUCAACGGUUGGGCUGCACCUGAUACUUCCGGGCUAGAGGGCGGUAGAGGAGAGCGGAACUCCCGGUGUAGCGGUGAAAUGCGUAGAUAUCGGGAGGAACGCCGGUGGCGAAGGCGGCUCUCUGGGCCGUUCCUGACGCUGAGGCCCGAAAGGUGGGGGAGCGAAAGGGAUUAGAUACCCCUGUAGUCCCAGCCGUAAACGAUGGGCACUAGGUGUUCCUCCGAAGGGGGGAGUGCCGACGGGAAACCAUUAAGUGCCCCACCUGGGGAGUACGCCCGCAAGGGUGAAACUUAAAGGAAUUGGCGGG
rnacentral:rRNA from 1 species